AACUGCGAAUGGCUCAUUAAAUCAGUUAUCGUUUAUUUGAUAGUACCUUACUACAUGGAUACCUGUGGUAAUUCUAGAGCUAAUACAUGCUGAAAACCCCGACUUCGGAAGGGGUGUAUUUAUUAGAUAAAAAACCAACGCCCUUCGGGGCUCCUUGGUGAUUCAUAAUAACUUAACGAAUCGCAUGGCCUUGCGCCGGCGAUGGUUCAUUCAAAUUUCUGCCCUAUCAACUUUCGAUGGUAGGAUAGUGGCCUACCAUGGUGGCAACGGGUAACGGGGAAUUAGGGUUCGAUUCCGGAGAGGGAGCCUGAGAAACGGCUACCACAUCCAAGGAAGGCAGCAGGCGCGCAAAUUACCCAAUCCCGAUACGGGGAGGUAGUGACAAUAAAUACUGAUACAGGGCCCUUUUGGGUCUUGUAAUUGGAAUGAGUACAAUCUAAAUCCCUUAACGAGGAACAAUUGGAGGGCAAGUCUGGUGAACCAUCAGUUCUCUGCUGACGCCAGAGAUAGUAGGGUCCCCCCCGGGCCUCCGGGGGGGAUUACGCCUGCUAGUCGAGCACUCGAUGUGGCGAUGGGUGAGUGCCGGCGAGGUGACCUGGUACGGGGAAGCCUAAGGGUUGUCGGCCGCGAGGGGGGCCCGUUCGACCUAUGGUAAUCCCGUGGCGAGCUCCAGCCGGGCGGAAGCCCGCUGGGGCCGUCGUAACGCGCGGAAAGGCACCGGCUGCCACCUCCGGGUGGUGGCUCAAGGGACGUGCUGUCCCAUCCGAAAGGAUGCCCUCAACUGGAGCACCCAUCGUGUAAAGGUUGAGGGGGGCACACAGCGCCGCGCUGUGUGCCCGGGAGACCCUCCCCCCGCGGGUUCCCGCGGGUUGGGGGGGCUGUUAACGGCCAGCAGCCGCGGUAAUUCCAGCUCCAAUAGCGUAUAUUAAAGUUGUUGCAGUUAAAAAGCUCGUAGUUGAACCUUGGGCCUGGCUGGCCGGUCCGCCUCACCGCGAGUACUGGUCCGGCUGGGCCUUUCCUUCUGGGGAACCCCAUGGCCUUCACUGGCCGUGGCGGGGAACCAGGACUUUUACUGUGAAAAAAUUAGAGUGUUCAAAGCAGGCCUUUGCUCGAAUACAUUAGCAUGGAAUAAUAGAAUAGGACGUGCGGUUCUAUUUUGUUGGUUUCUAGGACCGCCGUAAUGAUUAAUAGGGAUAGUCGGGGGCGUCAGUAUUCAGCUGUCAGAGGUGAAAUUCUUGGAUUUGCUGAAGACUAACUACUGCGAAAGCAUUCGCCAAGGAUGUUUUCAUUAAUCAGGGAACGAAAGUUAGGGGAUCGAAGACGAUCAGAUACCGUCGUAGUCUUAACCAUAAACUAUGCCGACUAGGGAUCGGACGGUGUUUCUAUGAUGACCCGUUCGGCACCUUACGAGAAAUCAAAGUUU
rnacentral:rRNA from 1 species